rnacentral:rRNA from 1 species
UACGUAGGGUGCAAGCGUUGUCCGGAAUUAUUGGGCGUAAAGAGCUCGUAGGCGGUCUGUCGCGUCUGCUGUGAAACUCGGGCUUAACUCCGGGUCUGCGGUGGAUACGGGCAGACUAGAGGCAGGUAGGGGAGAACGGAAUUCCCGGUGUAGCGGUGAAAUGCGCAGAUAUCGGGAGGAACACCGAUGGCGAAGGCGGUAGCUG